rnacentral:rRNA from 1 species
CCUACGGGAGGCAGCAGUGAGGAAUAUUGGUCAAUGGGCGCUAGCCUGAACCAGCCAAGUAGCGUGAAGGAUGACUGCCCUCUGGGUUGUAAACUUCUUUUAUAUGGGAGUAAAGUGCAGUAUGUAUACUGCUUUGCAUGUACCUUAUGGAUAAGGAUCGGCUAACUCCGUGCCAGCAGCCGCGGUAAUACGGAGGAUCCGAGCGUUAUCCGGAUUUAGUGGGUUUAAAGGGAGCGUAGGCGGGUUGUUAAGUCAGUUGUGAAAGUUUGCGGCUCAACCGUAAGAUUGCAGUUGAUACUGGCAUCCUUGAGUACAGUAGAGGUAGGCGGAAUUCGUGGUGUAGCGGUGAAAUGCGUAGAUAUCACGAAGAACUCCGAUUGCGAAGGCAGCCUGCUGGACUGUAACUGACGCUGAUGCUCGAAAGUGUGGGGAUCAAACAGGAUUAGAUACCCGUGUAGUC